CAUGCGUCACCACACCCGGCUAAUUUUGUAUUUUUAGUAGAGACCGGGUUUCUCCACAUUGGUCAGGCCAGUCUCGAACUCCCGACCUCAGUGCGUUUUCUGGGAGGCACUGUGCUUGACAGUAGGAAGACGAUGCUGAGAUGCAGUCCCUGGCUGUGGAGUAACUUGAGCGUCUUGGGGGUGUAGUCUGUAAAUGUAUGAUGACGGUACUUACCAGCUGGGAGAGAGGCUGCCCCUUGCCGUCUUUCUGACUCCAUCUCCACCGCUCUCCACCUUGCUCACUCUGGCUGCCUCAUUUUCUCACACACUUCACUGCUCUAGGAUUUUCACAGUUGUUGACCGUUCGGCCUGGAACCCUCUUCCCAGUUGCGUACAUGGUUCUCUCCUUCACUAGGUUCAGGCUGUGCUCAAAUGCCACCUUCUCAACGAGGCUUUUCCUGGCUGGCUUUGCUGAAACCACGCCCUCAGCCCAUUACCAGAUCCCCUUCUCCUGGACGGGUGGUUGGCUUUAAUACAGUUCUCAUUACUGCUUGGCCUUGGGCUACAUACUUGUUUUUUGUUAUCUGCUUCCUCAAAGAACAUAUGCUUCCCGUAGUGCACUUUUCAC
rnacentral:lncRNA from 1 species